rnacentral:miRNA from 1 species
UUUGGAGUGAAGGGAGUUCUG